CAAACGGGCGGCGACUGGCGCUGAACGUGGGGCCACACCACGGGGGAGCCGCCCGGACUCUGACAGAUCGCGCGCCUGGGUCGGACGU
rnacentral:ncRNA from 2 species